UAUUCGGUUACUGCCUGAUUUGCAUGGAAGAUGAGUAGUAUGUUCUGUGGCAUCCAGAGCUCGUGAAGCCAUCAACUAAGUUAUGCACUUUCUGCUGUCACAGGCUUGUUCACGAACGAGGAUUGAAGCCGUAGGUUAGGGCCCUUCCUUCUCUUCUAAUGAAAUCAAGCGAGGAAAAAGUGAGCUUUCUUUGUUUGUGGCCCUAUCCAGCCUUCCUUUGCAUGUGCACAUCGCCAUCCUUUCCCUCCCUGCUCGAGCCCCUCAAUCUGAUUCUCUCCUCUUCAAAUUUAUUUUUCAUUUGCAGAUAGGGUUUGGGUGUAUAGAAUUUUUUUCAGCAAUGUGAUAGAAGGCAGAAUUCAUGCUCAAAGUGUCCAUGGUUACUGCAGCAUUAGGACCAUCCACGACAAGUCGAAUGACACGGCUCUAUAUGGUCUUUGAGGUGGACAGACUGAUUCUACCUUGUCAUGGGCGUGUCGCAGAGAGAGCGUUUCAGAAUUACGGUGCUUAUCAUGUAUUGAGUGAUAACUGACCAUUGAUGGUGCAUAACAUUCAACGAGUGGUGGAAAUGAGGGUGAUGCAUAUUAGUUCCCUAGGUGUCCAAGUACAUGAGCUGAUCCAAGAUGCUGAGCUAAGACCUUGUUUGGGUUUGGUUGGUAGGAGAUCCUUGCACUGUCGGUGACAACAGACAACAUUCGGUGCUGUGGGAGUGUCAGGUAAUUGUAAACUACAUAUUGUGAUGCAGAUGAUGGUACACGUUGGGCUGCUAAUGCAGUAUCAACUAACGAUUGGUGAAAUUUGCUUGGCUAAUAUAGGAUUCUUUUCUAAAAUUCCCAAGGAAUUUGGGAAAAGGCAGCGGUAAGUUAUUCUCCAUGUCCUCCUUUGUAUAACAUCAACAUCUGUGAUAUAACCAGUCUGCACGUCUCUGCUGAAUUUACUUAUUUAGUUAUUUGUUUGUUGUUCUCAGAUUUGUAUCUACUGACGAGAAAAGGUAAGCAAGUAAUAUUUUACAGGUAAGCAAUUGGUUUGAUCGUGUUGGGAAAGUAUUGGUCAAAAAGAAUAUGAAUGACAACACAAGAAAAGGUGACCAUGACAUGGAGAAACACAUUUUUCAAGUCUGCCUACUUGGCGAGCGCAACGGCAGCCGUACCGCCAUCGCCUGACACCCUCAAUAUUGGUUGGAUAUGCUCUAUGUAGAGGUCUCUCAAGAAGCAGUAUGUCGCUGAUGGUGUUCAUGAAGUGACUCCUAAUAAUGAGCAAGACGGCAAAUCUGAUCUCAGAGAAGCUGAAUAACAAAGGAGCAAGUGGAGAAGGUUCUUAAGGCUGGUGCUAACGUUGUAUUUACCACCAAAGGGAAUCAAUGAUAUGUUAUUGAAGGUUGUAGCAAUUGAUAUACAGUCUAGCCUGCAGUGAUUUGUCUUCCCAUGUCUUUGUAAUCUCAAUUUUGUAAAGUAGUGUCCAUCCUGGUUCUGGUGAGCUUAUUUGGGCAAUUAUCGAAGUCUGGUUCUCAUAUAUUGGUUGUGAGAAUUAUUCACCUACUAUGGCUGCCAACAGAGAACGACCUAUGAUCUUGGAAUUGUCCAUUCGGUGCUAUGAAGGUAUCAGGUGCUCAGUUGGAGGUACAUAUUCAAGGUUGAGGCUGAUAUGCACAAUGUAGCAAGGUAGUGUCGAUCCUGGUUCUGGGAAUUGAUUUGGGCAACUUUUGGAGUUUGGUUCUCAUAUAUUGGUCCUGAAAGAUAUUUUUUUGCAAGUGCCCAAUUGAUUUUACGCUUAUUUGAAAGCCAAGCCCGGUAUGUCUCGGGCUCUUCUUUUCUAUUCUGCAUUUCUUCAGAAAAAUAUAUUACUCUCUGGGCUUGAUGAUUUUGGUAACAAGUGUUUAAUAUGCUAGAAUUUGGUACAAAAUUAAAUUUUAGUGUGUUCUCGAGUAGUCGAGUAGCUGCUUGUCUGUCAUUUACUUCUUAUUUUAGUUUAUAGUUUUUUAUGCUUCAUUUUCCCGGUGAUGUGCAAGAAGUUUAAUUUAUGCCAGAAGCUGUAUAUGAGUCCCUGCACAUCCAUUCUCAUUAAGAAAAUAAUAUUUACACUCUACUAUGUAUGCAUGAGCUACUAUUAUAGAGCUCUUAUUGCCAAACAGGUCCAUCAAUGGACACCAAGUGCACACCACUUGGCAUGCCAGCUAAUUUGUUGCUUUUAGGAUGUUACAUGUGCUGUAGGUGGCUUAAUACGGAUACAAAUAAUAUUGUUCCUUUUUACUCAUGAACAAUAAGUACUCAGUUUUUCAGUGUGCCUGCAACCCAGUUCGGCAACAACAAGAGCACAUGGUAUUUGCUCUGUCAGUAUAUCACAAUUUAAUUAUGUUUAUAGGUGUGCUUCCUAUGCAAUAAUCAGAGCCGGAAUUAGUGAGUGGGGCUUUUAACAUGAUUCUGUGUUGCAUCUAGCUCCACAAGCCACCUUAAACAUCCUUUUAAGACCUGAUUGUGUAUGACUGAUUAUGCCAAGGUCUUUAAUCUACCUUUUGUUCACUCGAUAGAGGUUUUCUAGGAUACUCAAUCUCUUCAUGUGUUAUAUGCGUCGGCCAACUUUGUAUCCGCUGAUGACCGGUACCUCCGCGGCAUUAGCUAAUUUUUCCAGCGUACAGAUUUUAGUAGAAAAAACGAAUGUUGUUAUGAAAGAUUUUUCAGACCGGAAAAUACAUAAGAGCCCGCGAGAGCAAGGGGAACCAGUAUGCAUCUUGUUUGGAAUGCAUUUGGCCAGCUGCCAUGGAUGUGGUAUGUUGGCAUUACAAAAAUUUCUAUUUUCUUCAUGUUGGGUAGUGUGCUGUAUAACACCUCGGCUUGCUUAUUUCUUCAUGUUGUGUAGUGCUACAAAGGAAAAUGAUCAAUUAGUGUACUUAUUUCUUUCUGUCAUUUAAUUGAGGUGAUGCUUAAAUUAUCUGGCACUGUUUGAAAUACUACAGAAAUAGAUGCAUGUAUAUUUUCCUUUGCAGCCCUUGCAUUUAUGAUACACAACAUGUUGUAUUUUCCGUAGAUAAACCACAUUUAUUUGUCUACUUCACCGUUUUAUUUACACUUAUUCACAACAUAGUACACUUGUUUACUUUACCAUGUGAUUUCCGGUGAGCUUCACACUCACAUCCAUAGUUGAUUCUGUUCCCUGUAGAAAAUUCAUAGUAGCUAUGCUUUGUUAUGUUAAUGGAUUUGACAAAGAUAAUGAUGACCCAAGCAUGUUUUAUUUCAUAGCUGUGGAACUCUGAGCAAGGUGCACUUCCCCUCCAAGUUACCCUCCAAGUGUGUAGCAUGUGAUUCGCCAUGUUGAGGAAUGCUGCAUUUACUUGCAUAUAAUCCUCCUUUUUUUUUGUAAAAUUAGAGCUUAAAUCAGCUAGCCAGUAGCAACUAAAUGCCCAGGUAGGUUGAGAUGUUGAUGGAGCUGAUAAGCUCUAUUACUUUAUGAAUUAAUGAUUGCUGGUAUCACUAGGAUAGUAGUUAAUGAAUCUUGAAAUCAUGUCUCGCUAUGCAUAAUUUUGCUGAUUGGUUGCUGUUUUGAGUACAAGAAAAUAAAGAUCCGGGGCACUGAAAGCAUCCUUAUUUGUAGUUGAACCGGAUAACCACUUCUGAUGUUUUGCAAUCAUGGUAUGUUCUGAAUUACUAUUGGAAGGGUGGUGAUGAUGUCGCUCUCUA